GAUGAACGCUGCCAGAAUGCUUAACACAUGCAAGUCUUUGGCGAAGCUGUGCUCGCACAGCCUAGCCAAGGCGGACGGGUGAGUAACGCGUAAGGAACUUGCCCUGCAGUCAGGGAUAACAGACGGAAACGACUGAUAAGACCUGGUAAAUUCAGGCGGACUCAUGUCCAGCCUGAUGAAAAGAGAUGCUGCAGGAGAGCCUUGCGUCCUAUUAGCUUGUUGGUGGGGUAACGGCCCACCAAGGCGAUGAUAGGUAGCCGGCCUGAGAGGGUGGACGGCCACAAGGGGACUGAGAUACGGCCCUUACUCCUACGGGAGGCAGCAGUGGGGAAUAUUGGACAAUGGGGGCAACCCUGAUCCAGCAAUUCUGUGUGCACGAUGAAGGUUUUCGGAUUGUAAAGUGCUUUCAGCAGGGAGGAAAAAAAUGACGGUACCUGCAGAAGAAGCGACGGCUAAAUACGUG
rnacentral:rRNA from 1 species